GGCCUAACACAUGCAAGUCGAGCGCCCCGCAAGGGGAGCGGCAGACGGGAGAGUAACACGUGGGAACGUGCCCUUUGGUUCGGAAUAACUCAGGGAAACUUGAGCUAAUACCGGAUAAGCCCUUACGGGGAAAGAUUUAUUGCCAAAGGAGCGGCCCGCGUCCGAUUAGCUAGUUGGUGAGGUAACGGCUCACCAAGGCGACGAUCGGUAGCUGGUCUGAGAGGAUGACCAGCCUCACUGGGACUGAGACACGGCCCAGACUCCUACGGGAGGCAGCAGUGGGGAAUAUUGGACAAUGGGCGCAAGCCUGAUCCAGCCAUGCCGCGUGGAUGAUGAAGGCCUUAGGGUUGUAAAGUCCUUUUAACGGGGAAGAUAAUGACGGUACCCGUAGAAUAAGCCCCGGCUAACUUCGUGCCAGCAGCCGCGGUAAUACGAAGGGGGCUAGCGUUG
rnacentral:rRNA from 1 species